rnacentral:misc_RNA from 1 species
GAUGAAGAACGUAGCGAAAUGCGAUAAGUAAUGUGAAUUGCAGAAUUCAGUGAAUCAUCGAAUCUUUGAACGCACAUUGCGCCCGUUAGCAUUCUAGCGGGCAUGCCUGUCCGAGCGUCAUUUCAACCCUCAGGGUCCCCGUUCCGGCGGGGAACCUGGUGUUGGGGAUCGGCCCGCCCCGUGCGGCGCCGUCCCCCAAAUUCAGUGGCGGUCUCGCUGCAGCCUCCCCUGCGUAGUAGUUACAACCUCGCAUCGGAGCUCAGCGCGACCACGCCGUAAAACCCCCGACUUUCUGAACGUUGACCUCGGAUCAGGUAGGAAUACCCGCUGAACUUAAGCAUAUCAAUAAGCGGAGGA